GGCUCAGGAUGAACGCUUAGCGGCAGGCUUAACACAUUGCAAGUCCGAGGGGGUAUAGUUCUUCGGAGCUAGUAGAACCGGCGCACGGGUGCGUAACGCGUAUGCAAUCUACCUUUUACAGGGGAAUAGCCCAGAGAAAUUUGGAUUAAUGCCCCAUAGUAUAUAUCAUUCGCAUGUUUGAUAUAUUAAAGUUCCAACGGUAAAAGAUGAGCAUGCGUCCCAUUAGUUAGUUGGUAAGGUAACGGCUUACCAAGACAAUGAUGGGUAGGGGUCCUGAGAGGGAGAUCCCCCACACUGGUACUGAGACACGGACCAGACUCCUACGGGAGGCAGCAGUGAGGAAUAUUGGACAAUGGGCGCAAGCCUGAUCCAGCCAUGCCGCGUGCAGGAAGACGGUCCUAUGGAUUGUAAACUGCUUUUAUACAGGAAGAAACACACCCUCGUGAGGGUACUUGACGGUACUGUAAGAAUAAGGAUCGGCUAACUCCGUG
rnacentral:rRNA from 1 species